rnacentral:rRNA from 1 species
UACGUGCCAGCAGCCGCGGUAAUACGGAAGGUCCAGGCGUUAUCCGGAUUUAUUGGGUUUAAAGGGAGCGUAGGCGGACGAUUAAGUCAGCUGUGAAAGUUUGUGGCUCAACCGUAAAAUUGCAGUUGAAACUGGUUGUCUUGAGUGCACGCAGGGAUGUUGGAAUUCAUGGUGUAGCGGUGAAAUGCUUAGAUAUCAUGAAGAACUCCGAUCGCGAAGGCAUAUGUCCGGAGUGCAACUGACGCUGAGGCUCGAAAGUGCGGGUAUCGAACAGGAUUAGAUACCCUGGUAGUCCGCACAGUAAACGAUGAAUACUCGCAGUAUGCGAUAUAGUGUAUGCUGCCAAGUGAAAACGUUAAGUAUUCCACCUGGGGAGUACGCCGGCAACGGUGAAACUCAAAGGAAUUGACGGGGGCCCGCACAAGCGGAGGAACAUGUGGUUUAAUUCGAUGAUACGCGAGGAACCUUACCCGGGCUUGAAC